UACGUAGGGGGCAAGCGUUGUCCGGAUUUAUUGGGCGUAAAGAGCGUGUAGGCGGUUUGGUAGGUCCGCUGUGAAAACUCGAGGCUCAACCUCGAGACGCCGGUGGAAACCAUCAGGCUAGAGUCCGGUAGGGGAGUGUGGAAUUCCCGGUGUAGCGGUGAAAUGCGCAGAGAUCGGGAGGAACACCCGUAGCGAAGGCGGCACUCUGGGCCGGUACUGACGCUGAGGAGCGAAAGCGUGGGGAGCAAACAGG
rnacentral:rRNA from 1 species